GACGAACGCUGGCGGCGUGCUUAACACAUGCAAGUCGAGCGGUAAGGCCCUUUCGGGGGUACACGAGCGGCGAACAGGUGAGUAACACGUGGGUGACCUGCCCUCAGCUCUGGGAUAAGCCUGGGAAACCGGGUCUAAUACCGGAUAUGACUCCAUGACGCAUGUUGUGGGGUGGAAAGCCUUGUGCGGCUGAGGAUGGGCCCGCGGCCUAUCAGCUUGUUGGUGGGGUGANGGCCUACCAAGGCGACGACGGGUAGCCGGCCUGAGAGGGCGACCGGCCACACUGGGACUGAGACACGGCCCAGACUCCUACGGGAGGCAGCAGUGGGGAAUCUUGCGCAAUGGGCGAAAGCCUGACGCAGCGACGCCGCGUGAGGGAUGACGGCCUUAGGGUUGUAAAGCUC
rnacentral:rRNA from 1 species